rnacentral:lncRNA from 1 species
CAAAUGGAAAAGAAAUGAGUCAAAAAUCCAGUCAUUCAGAGGAAUUAAUGCAAUUGGCCAUAUGUCAUGAAGACAUCAUCAGUAAAUGGCAAUCCUGAUGCGUACAGGAGUCAACAUAGGUUCAGGGGCAAUGCAGCAUCUCUGCCUUCUUCUGGGUAUUCCUCUUAAAUGGCUUGACAAUAACCACCAACCAGCACUGCCAUACAUGUGUCCUGUACCUAUCAGAGGCACUAGGGCAGUUUUGGAACAGAGAGCCCAUAGAAAGGCUACUGCUUAGAGAUAGCCAUUUUCUUCUUGGAGCUGGACCAGUGAAUUAGACGCAUGGAGGAGAGCUGGAAAAUCCCUUUUUGGAAGAGCUACACAAAACCAAAAUUUGGAAUUCGUAGCUAAUAACCAUAAAAAUUAAGAAAUGACUGUUGGAAGAGCACUGGAAAUCACCUGAUUAAGUUAAGAAAAACUAACUAGCUCAUGAGAAAAUUAUUUUCAGGCCAGCUGUAGCCUGUACCCUUU